AAGAGAGUUUCCUAAAGCGAGGAAACCAAGCCGGGCGCCUCUUGCAAUGGAGACGGUCAUUUCUUCAGAUAGCUCCCCAGCUCUGGAAAAUGAGCAUCCUCAAGGUAAGUUUACUGAAGAAAGGAAACUGGGCAUGAAAACAAUAGCCUGAUCCUAACAAUGUCUUCAACAAUGCUUUUGAAUCUCUCCCCUGGGAAAAUCAAAGCAGGACCAGAUAAUGUGCCAAACCACAAAAAUCAGUGACAGUAGUUUGGCAAGAUCACCCAGGAAUAAAUCUUGGGCAGAGUGGGGAUGAUUAAUAUCUUCAGUUAUCAAACCACUUGAGAGAAACAUCUGAGGUACAGGCAAAACUUCCAUAGGCAACUCUGGGCUGGCUACCAUGUUUUAGAAGUCCUGGGUAUUUUCUGCAUAGUCCAGAAACAGUGCUACCAGGAUUUUAUCACCCAGCAAGCUCACUAAAGCCACUGAAUGUACACCAAAAAUUAUGCAAAGGGCUUGGUGCAGUGGCUUACGCCUGUAAUCCCAGCACUUUGGGAGGCCAAGGCAGGUGGAU
rnacentral:sRNA from 1 species